GCGAAGUUGGUGGGAGUGGGCGCGGUGAUUGGGAGGGGGGGGUCGGUGGCCGUGAGUAUUGUGAGUAAAGUGCUGGUGGGCGGGUUGUCGCGUCUUCAGUGAAAAUCCGGGGCGCAACGCCGGACUUGCUGUGGGUACGGGCGGACGAGAGUAGGGUAGGGGAGACCGGAAUGCCUGGUGGAGCGGGGGGAUGCGGAGAUAUCAGGAGGAACAGCGAUGGCGAAGGCAGGUCUCUGGGCCAUAACUGACGCUGGGAAGCGAAAGCAUGGGGAGCGAACAGGAUUAGAUUCCCUGGUAGUC
rnacentral:rRNA from 1 species